rnacentral:rRNA from 1 species
GAUGAACGCUGGCGGCGUGCCUAACACAUGCAAGUCGAACGGUCAAACGCCUUGCUUUUUCGUCUGUGUGUAUCGGUGGCCGAGGGGUUAAUAACUCGAUAGUAACCUUCUCCCUCUUUCUGGAUAACGGCAUGAAAGUGUUGCUAAUACGGCAUAUUCUGGACCUGUUGCAUCAUUGGUUUGGGACAGUUUUUGUUUCGGUUGUAGAUGGUUUCGCGCCGGAUUAGCUUGUUGGUGAGGUGACGGCGUACCAAGGCGACGAUGCGUAGCCGGCCUGAGAGGAUGAUGGGCCACAAUGGAACUGAGAAACGGUCGAGAAGCCUACGGGAGGCAGCAGUAGGGAAGAUUAGGCAAUGGGGGAAAGCAUGAUGGAGCAACGACGCGGGGGGGAGGAAGGAGUUCGGAGUGUAAAGAACUUUUAUUGGGAAAGAAGAAAGGCGGAAUCAUUUGUGGAUGUGUUGACGGUAGCUAAAGAAAAAGCGCCGGCUAACUACGUG